UCUGGGAAAAAUCCGGGAAAAAUCUGGGAAAAUUUGGGGUUUUGGGGGGGUUUUAGGGGGAUUUUUGGGGAUUAUGGGGUUUUUUUUGUGAGAUUUUGGGGUUUUUGGGGGGGAUUUGGAGAGGGAUUCACCUGGAAUAUCCCUGGAUUCCCAAAAUUCCAUGGAAUUCUCUGGAAUUCCCAAAAAAACCCCAAAAAUUUUGGGGUUUUGGGGGGGGUUUUAGGGGGAUUUUUGGGGUUUUUUGGUGAAAUUUGGGGGUUUUUGGGGGGAUUUGGAGAGGGAUUCACCUGGAAUGUCCCUGGAUUCCCAGAAUUCCCCAAAUUCCAUGGAAUUCUCUGGAAUUCUCAAAAAAAUCCACCAAAAUUUGGGGUUUGGGGAGGUUUUAGGGGGAUUUUUGGGGGAUUUUUGGGGUUUUUAGGGGGGAUUUUGGGGUUUUUGGGGGGGAUUUGGAGAUGGAUUCACCUGGAAUUUUCUGGAUUCCCAGAAUUCCCAAAAUUCCAUGGAAUUUUCCCGAAUUUUCUCCCCCCAGGACGGGUCCCUGAGCCGGGAGGAGAUUUUGGGGAGUUGGGAGCUUUUCGUGGGGAGCCGAGCCACGGACUACGGGCAGGACCUGCACAGGGCCCACGACGAGCUCUGAGAGCCCCAAAAAUUCCCAAAAAAAUUCCCAAAAAAUUCCCAAAAAAUUCCCAAAAUAUCCCAAAAAUAUUCCCAAAAAAUCCCUGGAAAAAUUCCCAAAAAAUCCCAUCCGGUUUCGAAAAAAUUCGGGAUUUUUUGGGGAAAAAUACGGAGGAAAAAAUGGAAUUUUUUGGUGAAUCCGAGAGCUCUGAGAGCCCCAAAAAUUCCCAAAAUAUCCCCAAAACAUUCCCAAAAUAUCCCAAAAUAUUCCCAAAAAAUCCCAUCCGGCCUCGAAAAAAUCUGGGAUUUUUUGGGGAAAAUACGGAGGAAAAAAUGGAAUUUUGAUGAGUCCACGACCCCCAAAAAUUCCCCUAAAAAUUCCCCAAAAAUUCCCAAAAAAAUUCCCAAAAAUUCCCAAAAACAUUUCCAAAAAAUCCCUGGAAAAAUUCCCAAAAAACCCCAUCCAGCCUCGAAAAAAUCCGGGAUUUUUAGAGGAAAAUACGGAGGAAAAAAUGGAAUUUUUUGGUGAAUCCAAGAGCUCUGAGAGCCCCAAAAAUUCCCAAAAAAUUCCCAAAAUAUCCCCAAAACAUUCCCAAAAAACCCCUGGAAAUAUUCCCAAAAAAUCCCAUCCGGCCUCGAAAAAAUCCGGGAUUUUUUGGGGAAAAUUUGGGGAAUAAAUGGAAUUUUGAUGAGUCCA
rnacentral:lncRNA from 1 species